GUUUGUUUUGAAUAUUGACUAUUAUAUUCAUAUCCAUUACAGCUGGUUAAUAGCCAUACUGGCCCAAACAAACCCUCUAUUUGGACCUCAGCUCAAAAACGAGACCAUAUGGUAUCUGCGCUACUUCUGGGAGUAGAUGGAGGUGUCAUCUGGAAGAUUAAAGCCACUAUCAUAAUCAAUAAAACCCACAGAAUAGUCAAGGAUCGACUCCAAGGGAACAAUAUUGGUGUUAUGAAACAUGUUUAAUGGCUUAUUUAGUUUAAACUUGAACAUGUUAUGUACUUUAUGCAACGUAAAUAAUAGAAAAUGUGGAAAUGAUAUACAUGUACAAAGAAAUGUAAUAGUGCUAUUCUUGUGAUGUUUAAAGAAUUAAGGAAAUCA